AUUGAACGCUGGCGGCAGGCUUAACACAUGCAAGUCGAGCGGAGAGAGGUAGCUUGCUACUGAUCUUAGCGGCGGACGGGUGAGUAAUGCUUAGGAAUCUGCCUAUUAGUGGGGGACAACAUUUCGAAAGGAAUGCUAAUACCGCAUACGUCCUACGGGAGAAAGCAGGGGAUCUUCGGACCUUGCGCUAAUCGAUGAGCCUAAGUCGGAUUAGCUAGUUGGUGGGGUAAAGGCCUACCAAGGCGACGAUCUGUAGCGGGUCUGAGAGGAUGAUCCGCCACACUGGGACUGAGACACGGCCCAGACUCCUACGGGAGGCAGCAGUGGGGAAUAUUGGACAAUGGGCGCAAGCCUGAUCCAGCCAUGCCGCGUGUGUGAAGAAGGCCUUAUGGUUGUAAAGCACUUUAAGCGAGGAGGAGGCUACUUUAGUUAAUACCUAGAGAUAGUGGACGUUACUCGCAGAAUAAGCACCGGCUAACUCUGUGCCAGCAGCCGCUGUAAUAC
rnacentral:rRNA from 1 species